rnacentral:rRNA from 1 species
UACGUAGGGGGCGAGCGUUGUCCGAAGUUACUGGGCGUAAAGCGCGCGUAGGCGGUUUCUUAAGUCUGGGGUGAAAGGUUCAGCGCUCAACGUGAACAGUGCCUUGGAUACUGGGAGACUUGAGUUAGGGAGAGGGUAGUGGAAUUCCUGGUGUAGCGGUGAAAUGCGUAGAUAUCAGGAGGAACACCCAUGGCGAAGGCAGCUACCUGGCCUAUAACUGACGCUGAGGUGCGAAAGCGUGGGGAGCAAACGGG